GCCCGCUUGGCUAAGUGGUAUAGCGUGUCACUAGUACUAUGAGGCAACUCAUCCAGCUAGAUGCCAUGACAAGAUCAGCGGUUCGAUUCCGCUAGUGGGCA